UACGUAGGGUGCGAGCGUUUAAUCGGAAUUACUGGGCGUAAAGAGUGCGUAGGCGGUUCUUUGUGUCCGCUGUGAAAGCCCCGGGCUUAACCUGGGAAUGGCAGUGGAAACUAGAGAACUUGAAUCUGGCAGAGGGGGUGGAAUGGCCACGUGUAGCAGUGAAAUGCGUAGAUAUGUGGCGGAACACCGAUGGCGAAGGCAGCCCCUGGGCUGAGAUUGACGCUCAGGCACGAAAGCGUGGGGAGCAAACAGG
rnacentral:rRNA from 1 species